rnacentral:tRNA from 1 species
GCCGGAGUGGUGAAAUUGGUAGACGCGCUGGACUCAAAAUCCAGUAGGGGCAACUCUGUGGGGGUUCAAUUCCCCCCUCCGGCA